GACGUAGGGCGCGAGCGUUGUCCGGAUUUAUUGGGCGUAAAGAGCUCGUAGGCGGCUUGUCGCGUCGGGAGUGAAAUCCACUGGCUUAACUGGUGGCUUGCUUUCGAUACGGGCAGACUGGAGGUAUGCAGGGGAGAACGGAAUUCCUGGUGUAGCGGUGAAAUGCGCAGAUAUCAGGAGGAACACCGGUGGCGAAGGCGGGUCUCUGGGCCGAUACUGACGCUGAGGAGCGAAAGCGUGGGGAGCGAACAGG
rnacentral:rRNA from 1 species